GCCCCGGUGGCGGAAUUGGCAGACGCGCAUGGUUGAGGGCCAUGUCCUUCACGGGGUGGAGGUUCGAGUCCUCUCCGGGGCA
rnacentral:tRNA from 4 species